CCGGCGCACGGUGAGUAACACGUAUCCAACCUGCCGUCUACUCUUGGCCAGCCUUCUGAAAGGAAGAUUAAUCCAGGAUGGCAUCAUGAGUUCACAUGUCCGCAUGAUUAAAGGUAUUUUCCGGUAGACGAUGGGGAUGCGUUCCAUUAGAUAGUAGGCGGGGUAACGGCCCACCUAGUCAACGAUGGAUAGGGGUUCUGAGAGGAAGGUCCCCCACAUUGGAACUGAGACACGGUCCAA
rnacentral:rRNA from 1 species